rnacentral:misc_RNA from 1 species
AAGUCGUAACAAGGUUUCCGUAGGUGAACCUGCGGAAGGAUCAUUACAGAGUUCAUGCCCUAACGGGUAGAUCUCCCACCCUUGAAUACUAUACCUUAGUUGCUUUGGCAGGCCGUGGAAACACCACGGGCUCCGGCCUGUGCGUGCCUGCCAGAAACAAACUCUGUUUUUAGUGAUGUCUGAGUACUAUAUAAUAGUUAAAACUUUCAACAACGGAUCUCUUGGCUCUC